UUUUUUUUGCCUAAUUUCUCUCCCCCCGGUUUUUUUUUUUUUUUUGAGUGGGGGUGGGGCGGGAACACUAGGAUCGAACCCAAGCCUCAGUUUCCCCAGCGGGUCUUGGAACCGAAGAAGCAGAGCAGGCGGGGGCGGCGGUGCCACCUUAAGGCGGGUCCCGCCCGCGGCUCCCAGCCGAGCCCCGCGGAGGGAGGCGGCUCCGCAGCCACUGAGGCCACCAGCGCCGACCCCGGGCGGCGGCCACAGACCUGCGGCGCUGACUGCAGCUGCCCCUGGGUUGUACAACCCCGGACGCGCUGGCUGGAGGGGGGGCGCAGCGCGGGGUCCUGGUCCCCUGCCCCGACAGGCUCUCCCUGGCUGCUCUUUCUUUGCGUAAAAAUCCCUCCCCCAGCUCCGGCUUCUCUCCUAGCUUUUCCAGGCUCAGUCUCCUUGCACCCCAGCUCUAGCUUAGCACCCCAAAUUCUACUGCCUGCUCCUCCCCGCACCCAAUUCUCUCCCCAGCGCCACCUCUGCACCUCAGCGUCCCUUUGCCACAUCCUCAAGCCUCCAAGAAGCUGGGGGGGUCCAUUCUCUCACCCAUCCAUCAGCAGGAUGUACCCUCAGGGAAGGCACCCGACCCCGCUGCAGUCUGGCCAGCCUUUCAAGUUCUCAGUACUGGAAAUCUGUGACCGGAUCAAAGAGGAAUUCCAGUUUCUUCAAGCUCAGUACCACAGCCUCAAGCUAGAAUGUGAGAAGCUGGCCAGCGAGAAGACAGAAAUGCAAAGGCAUUAUGUGAUGGCUGCACCCCAUCAGUGUCCCCAGGGUGGCACCAGCUAUCCACACUGGCCAAGACUGUCUCCUUUGCAGUACUACGAGAUGUCCUACGGACUCAACAUUGAGAUGCAUAAACAGGCUGAGAUUGUGAAACGCCUCAGUGCGAUCUGUGCCCAGAUGGUCCCGUUCCUCACUCAGGAGCAUCAGCAGCAGGUGCUCCAGGCUGUGGACCGAGCCAAGCAGGUGACCGUGGGGGAACUGAACAGCCUCCUGGGGCAGCAGAAUCAGCUCCAGCCGCUGUCCCACGCACCCCCCGUGCCUCUCACCCCGCGCCCAGCCGGCCUGGUGGGUGCCGGGGCCACUGGGCUGCUGGCCCUAUCUGGGGCACUGGCUGCGCAGGCCCAGCUGGUGGCUGCCGUAAAGGAAGACCGUGUGGGUGUGGACGCCGAGGGGUCCAGAGUGGACAGAGCUGCCAGCAGGAGUUCUUCCCCGUCUCCCCCUGAGAGUCUGGUGGAAGAGGACCAUCCCAGCAGCCGAGGCGGCAGUGGGAAACAGCAGAGAGCUGAAGACAAGGAUCUGUCAGGGCCUUAUGACAGUGAGGAAGACAAGAGUGACUAUAACCUGGUAGUGGAUGAGGACCAACCGUCAGAGCCCCCCAGCCCUGUGACCACCCCUUGUGGGAAGGCGCCCCUCUGCAUUCCUGCCCGCAGGGACCUCACAGACAGUCCAGCCUCCUUGGCCUCCAGUUUGGGCUCACCACUCCCCAGAAGCAAAGACAUAGCCCUGAACGAUCUUCCCACAGGCACUCCUGCCUCCAGGUCAUGUGGUACCUCUCCACCCCAGGACUCGUCCACCCCGGGGCCCAGCUCAGCCAGUCACCUCUGCCAGCUGGCGGCUCAGCCGGCAGCACCCACAGACAGCAUCGCCCUGAGGAGUCCCCUGACCUUGUCCAGCCCUUUCACCUCAUCCUUCAGCCUGGGCUCCCACAGCACCCUCAAUGGGGACCUCUCCAUGCCUGGCUCCUAUGUCGGCCUCCACCUGUCCCCCCAGAUGGCAUUUGAAUCGCACCCCCAUCUCCGAGGCUCGUCUGUCUCCUUGCCUGGCAUCCCUGUGGCUAAGCCGGCUUACUCCUUCCACGUGUCUGCGGAUGGCCAGAUGCAGCCUGUGCCCUUCCCGUCUGAUGCUCUGGUAGGCACAGGCAUCCCUCGCCACGCAAGGCAGCUACACACGCUGGCCCACGGUGAGGUGGUGUGUGCCGUCACCAUCAGCAGCUCCACACAGCACGUGUACACAGGCGGCAAAGGAUGCGUGAAGGUGUGGGACGUGGGCCAGCCGGGUAGCAAGACCCCUGUGGCACAGCUGGAUUGCCUGAACCGAGACAACUACAUCCGCUCCUGCAAGCUGCUGCCCGACGGGCAGAGCCUGAUUGUAGGUGGCGAGGCCAGUACCCUGUCCAUUUGGGACCUGGCAGCACCCACACCACGGAUCAAAGCAGAGCUGACUUCGUCUGCCCCGGCCUGCUAUGCUCUGGCCGUCAGUCCGGACGCCAAGGUCUGCUUCUCCUGCUGCAGCGACGGUAACAUCGUGGUCUGGGACCUGCAGAACCAGGCCAUGGUCAGACAGUUCCAGGGCCACACGGACGGGGCCAGCUGCAUCGACAUAUCAGACUACGGGACCCGGCUGUGGACUGGGGGCCUGGACAACACUGUGCGCUGCUGGGACCUGCGCGAGGGCCGCCAGCUUCAGCAGCAUGACUUCAGUUCCCAGCUUGAGUACUGGGACGACAGCCUUCUCCACCAUUGUCCAGUAUGACAAAAGGCCCACGCCUGUGCAGCCACCCUUCCUGUGCACCUGGGACUGGAACAGAUGCUCCAGUGACACCUUGGCCAUCCGCAGGUCCCAGCAUCGCAGGCAGGCGUCCAGACCCCCUGUCCAGAUGUUGUCAUCUUUGACCACAAGGUUCCUGGCCGAAUUGGUAGGGCCUUUGAGGUUCCUGGCCAGAAAGCAAAGGGGUAAGCCUAGGCUCGACAGUCCCUAAGAUUCCCUCAAAGCCGUGGGACUAACCCAACCUGAGGUACUCUUAACACCUUUGGCAAGAAGGCAACAGUGACAUCAUCCUAGUCCCUGCCUCUAAAAGGUAAUGUUCCAAUACCUAUAAAUCCAGUACUGAGGAAGUUGAGGCAGGAGGAUUGCCAUGAGUUCCAGGCCAGGCUAGGGUACAUAGAGACCCUGCCUCAACAAUGAGGGUGAUGGAGAAGACCCAAAGCUGGCUGUGGUGACUCACAAUUGUCAUCCCAGCUACUCGGGAUUAAGAGAGGAUGAUUGCGAGUUAGAGCCAUCCUAGGCUUCAGAGCAAGUUCAGCAUCAUCCCUGAAAACGUCACCUGAUCCGACCUUAAGAUAAAAUCUGAGCAGGGCUUGGCAGCACAAGCCUGUCAUCCCAGCACUCUGGAGGCAGAGGCAGGUGGAUCACUGAGUUCCAAGGCUAGCCUGGUCUACAGAGUGAGACCCUAUGCCAGAUAAAAUGAAUAAAAGUAAAAGUGUUGACCAGAUGGCUCCCAGGUCACUCAGUGGGUAGAGGAGAGCCGAGUUCCAAGAACCCACUUAGUGGAAGAACAGGCUCCUGCAGGUUGUCCUGAGCCUCUGUUCUCCCUUGUCCUACAAGAAUUACAAUGAGCUGGGCAGUGGUGGCACACGCCUUUAAUCCCAGCACUUGGGAGGCAGAGGCAGGUGGAUCCAGGCCAGCCUGGUCUACAGAGUGAGUUUCAGGACAGCCAGGGCUGCACAGAGAGAAACCCUGUCUCGAAAAACAAAACAAAACAAAGCCCACGAAAAACAAGAUUUACGAAUAAGCCAGGCACACACAGCACUUGGAAGGUGAAGGCAGGAAGAUAAGGAGAGUUUAAGGUUCUCCUCCUCUGUGCUUGAGGACAACCUGGGCUACAUGAGACACUUACCCUAACCUAAAGGUAAACAAGCAGGCUGUGGGCGUGGUCAGGGAUAGGGUAGAGUCCCACCCAGAAUCCCCUAGUGAGGGGACUAGGGUGUGGCUCCACUCUGGGGGAGUGGGGUUUGGGUAAGAGCUCAGAACUCGUAGUCCGCAGCUCACAGUGCUCCUGUCCCUGUGUCUGCACCUGACUAUUUCCUGAGUCCGUAGGUCCCAUAUCCUGACCGUGCCAUCUGUGAAGCCGGCAAGGGCCAUGUUUUCCUUUGUGUUGGCCAGUGCCUGGCAGGACAGGCCCUCGCAGGGCAGCUGGCACUUCUCAUACAGGGAUGGGGCUGCCAGGUCCCACACGAUCACGCCAGGUAAGUUGUAUCCACCCGCGAACAGGGUCCUGCUGUUGGAGGACAGCAGGCAGGUGCGCAGGUACACCUUGUUGUCCUGCAGAGGAUCGUCCCGGCGAGUGAGGGUCAGUCGUGGCUCUUCCAGCACCUCCCAUCCCCAACCCCGUCCCUGCCCCGUCACCUGGACGCUGCAUUUCAAGUGGCUUUCUGGGUCUCUGUCCUCGGCCACCUGGUUCACGAGGUUCCACACCUUGAUGCCGCUCUGGCUGCAGGUGAAGACGUGCCGCGUGAAGGAGCUCACAGCUACCACCAAUAGCAGUUCCUGGUGCUUCAGCACACGCACCUUCUGCAGUGCUUGGGGGACAGUGAACCUCUCUAAUUGCCAGAGUGCUGUGCUAGGCUGAUUACAGCUGCUCUCUAAGACUUCAGAGCCCCAGGACCUAGGGAUAUGGGACACAGAGUGAAGUUUUCAAGACAGGGUCUUAGUCCAGGUUGGCCUUGAACUCUGUAUGGAGCAAAGGCUGACCUUGAAUUCCUAAUGCUCCUGCCUCUACCUCAUGAGCGCUAGGAGCCAGGCUCCAGUCACAUUCUUCAGUUCUUGCCACAGCCACACAUGCGUCCCUACUCUAAAACGCUUUGCUCAAGUCGACUGAGCUCCUGUGCACCCUUAUAGACCUAAUUAUUACAGCCCCUUCUCCAAGACAUCGUUCUCCAACUACAAGACUGAGAAUCUAGGUUGAGAUUUAAGUGAGACGUUCCUUCUUUAACCCUUUACAAGUUGUUCUUAUAUUUACUCAUUAAUGGGGUGUGGGGGGGUGGAGGGUAGAGAGGAGGCAGUACAACCUGCGGGAGUCAUUUUUCACUUUCAACUGUGUAGGUCCCAGGGAUCAAACCCAGGCCUAGGCUUGGGAGCAGGCACCUUUACCUGCUGAGCCCUCUCACAAGCCCCUCCAUCUUCCACCACCAGUUAAGGACAUGGAAAAGGGACAGAGACAGGGAGGCGGGGUGGGGGAGACAAGGGUGAGGUAACCCCGCUUUCUCCCUGCAGAGGCCAACACUCACAAGGGCUUCAGAAAUUUAUCAGCUCUUCCAGAAGAUUCCUGUGGUACAAAGAAAGAAGCUGACGCUGCUGGCUUGUGACCUCCCCUCCAUAUCUGCAUCCAGGUCUCCCACUCACCUGCGUCUCAGGUUGGGGCCGACUGACGUCUUCUUGGAGGUCUGGGGUUCUACUGAAGCGCUCUAUCGCCUGGAAGAAGUUUUCUGCCUAGAACAAGUUAGGAUGGAGCCUUGCUGAGGGCACAGAUGUGGGGAAGGGGAGCCUGUGCCAAAGCUUGGCACUAGGCACAGCUGGUUCUUUGGGGACAAGGAUCCGUCCUGCAGAUGUGGGGCCCUGAGAGAAACCCUCACCUGCUGAACUCCUCCGGAAGCUGGUUCACGAUGGACAAAUACCGACUGGAUAAGGUGGAAGGCUGGAAAGGUCAAAGGUCAAAACUAUAAAGCCUGCAUCUCCCUGAA